rnacentral:ncRNA from 2 species
UUACCAGCGAUUCUUUAUUCUCGUAUAUGUGCAGGAAUCGGCCUGCAUGUAUCUAUCCGAUCACCGGAAAUGAUUGGGCUGCGGCAUGAUUCGGACCGGUU